AUUUUGUUGGAUCUUUACACUAACCAUUAAUCCCAAAACUUAAGCCGUUAGAACUACACAACAAAUUCACUUAAAAUGUAUAGAUACAGCGCCCACGGGUCUCAAUUGUGGCUCGGUCCAACCAGUCUCAUGCACGCCACUUCGAACAUGACUUGGCCCACCCAGCCUCAUGCCGUUUUGAAUAUGACUUAGCCCAAUAUGACCUUCCGUCACAAGGCAGGAUUCCGAUCUAUUUAAGCCAACAGAUUUUAUUCUAUUUCUUGCUAAAUAACUAGCUUAUUUCA
rnacentral:lncRNA from 1 species